UACGUAGGGUGCGAGCGUUAAUCGGAAUUACUGGGCGUAAAGCGUGCGCAGGCGGUCUGUUAAGACCGAUGUGAAAUCCCCGGGCUUAACCUGGGAACUGCAUUGGUGACUGGCAGGCUUUGAGUGUGGCAGAGGGAGGUAGAAUUCCACGUGUAGCAGUGAAAUGCGUAGAGAUGUGGAGGAAUACCGAUGGCGAAGGCAGCCUCCUGGGCCAACACUGACGCUCAUGCACGAAAGCGUGGGGAGC
rnacentral:rRNA from 1 species